CUCCCUUCCUCCCCCGUCGUCCUCCCUUCCUCCCCCGUCGUUCUCCCUUCCUCCCCCGUCGUCCUCCUGCCUCCCCCAUCGUCCUCCCUGCCUCCCCCAUCGUCCUCCCUUCCUCCCCCAUCGUCCUCCUGCUCUGUUCUCUCGUCACGUUCGACCUGGAGACAUUUAGACGUCUGAGAUGACGACAGAGAUCGUCUUUCUGCGUCCUGAAACCACCUCCAGGUGAUGCGUCUCAUCCUGUGUUUUACUGAAAGUCAUGUGACCUCUGAAUGUCAGAGAAGAUCACAGAUGAGUGGGAGGAAGACGAGAUGAACCAGGAGCAGGUGGAUUUUCUGGCAGCAGAUGGAACCAAAUCCUGCAGAACGAAGAGGAGCGCCGCCCUCUAGUGGCUCAGCCAGGCGCCCUAUAGACCGGUCAGUUCACAUUUACCUGCCUGCCCUGUACGAUCAUGUGACAUAAACCUGUUAAAUCCAGCUGCAGUCAGUCCACAGGUCGUCGUUUUUAUCGCACUGAUCCUGCAGGUAAUAAACCCGCUCAGGUGUUGUUUGGUCACAUGACUUCAUAUCUGUCCUCUCUAACGGUUCAUUGACCUGCAGCUCUCUAAAGCUCUGCUUCCAGGAAUUAGACCGCACCUCUU